rnacentral:rRNA from 1 species
AUUGAACGCUGGCGGCAUGAUUUACACAUGCAAGUCGAACGGUAACAGGCCGCAAGUUGCUGAUGUGUGGCGUACGGGCGAGUAAUGCAUCGGAACGUGCCCAGCCGUGGGGGCUAACUACUCGAAAGAUUAGCUACUACCGCAAACGCCCCAUGGAUGAUAGCGUGGGCCUGUAAGACCUAGCGAGAUUGGCCCCGCCGAUGUCAGAUUAAGUAGUUGGUGGGGUAAAGGCUCACCAAGCCAACGAUAUGUAGCUGGCCUGAGAGGACGACCAGCCACACUGGGACUGGGACACGGCCCAGACGCCUACGGGAGGCAGCAGUGGGGAAUUUUGGACAAGGGGGGCAAGCCGGAUCCGGCAAGGCCGCGUGCAGGAAGAAGGCCUUCGGGUUGUAAGCUGCUUUUGUACGGAACGAAACGGCUCUGGUUAAUACCCGGAGCUAAUGACGGUACCGUAAGAGUAAGCACCGGCUAACUACGUG